rnacentral:rRNA from 1 species
UACGGAGGGGGCUAGCGUUGUUCGGAAUUACUGGGCGUAAAGCGCACGUAGGCGGCUUUGUAAGUUAGAGGUGAAAGCCCGGAGCUCAACUCCGGAAUUGCCUUUAAGACUGCAUCGCUAGAAUUGUGGAGAGGUAAGUGGAAUUCCGAGUGUAGAGGUGAAAUUCGUAGAUAUUCGGAAGAACACCAGUGGCGAAGGCGGCUCACUGGACCGGCAUUGACGCUGAUGUGCGAAAGCGUGGGGAGCAAACAGG